CAGUCUUGGUUACAUCAAUGAUACUAUUUUCGGAUGCAUAUUAUGUCGAUCUACCAGACGUCAACAUUUCCGUCGUUACCCGUACAGUAAGCAGUGAAGGAUGAUGGCCCAUGCCUAUCUACUACUCGAAGCCAGGAUAUGAGACUAUACUACAUGAUUUUAAUUCUUGAUACGUAUAAGCAUUAUUCCAAGUAACACCCAACUCCGUACUAAUUGCUUACGAUGUAAACGCUCGCAACGUUUACCAUCUCUAUCAACAAUGAAACGAGACAUAACGGCUUCGGUAUAACCCGUCAAGCCAGCGGCUGACAGUACGCGUUCCUACUCGUGACAACGGAGAGACAAUAUAUCGCUAAGCGAACUGUGGCGGUCAUCAUUGUACUCUGUAACUUUUUCUUUUCCUUCCCAUGCAGCUGAACCGGUGAUGCGGGGUAUCUCGCGAUUAUUUUUCUUUUUUAAGAGACCUAUCUCAGAACAGAAUGUCCGAGCAGGUCAGCUGUUCGGCGCCUCUUUUCUCUCUGAGAGAAGUUAGAGGCGUCCCGAGUAAUGUAAUAAGUUUUUAUAUUGAAAAGCGACAAUGGAUGGCACAAUAGUCAAUCAGAAUGCUGAGUGUCUUGCGAAGGAUGCAUCGCUCUAACUUGCAAUUGACCGAAAAGGGAUUGCUCGAGCUUCUUCAUAGAAUAAGUAAAUGGGAUAGUACAGAAAUAGUCCACGAGAAAGAGAAUAAAAAGCCACCAUGUACGUGCUACUGCAGUCCGACAGAUUUUCCACAUGUCAGAAACGUACAUCCAUAUGGGCUUGGCCGGAGAUGGCAAAUGAUAACGAUCGUUUAGAAUCCUAGAAAGAAUUGGGCCUUUUGAGCCGAGGAGGUUUUACCUUCCUUCGUAUGUUAAGCGAGGUAUGGCUUAAUACCUGCGUCUUGGCGCCAAUGGUUGCCAAGGUCUCAUCCGAAUGUGAGAUGCGACGCCAGUUGGACGUUGCAUUUGAAUGGGCGAGGGUGUUAUAAAUAUCUGACUAUUAUGCAUAAAGAAAGAGUAGGGAUGUGUGAGAAUCACGAGGAUAAAUGUGUUGUUUUCGUACUUCGUACCUUAAUCAUCGUCAACAACAACAACGACUAGUCCCUCGGAUUGUUCAAUUUGUUGGUACGGAGUACUACCCCCAGCUUCGAGGAGGGCUGACGGCU
rnacentral:lncRNA from 1 species